AUGAGCGCCAACAACCUGCCGCCCGCGAGCACCGUCGUCCGCAUGCUCCGCGACAACGGCAUCACCUCGGUGCGCCUCUACGCGCCCGACAGCGCAGCGCUGGCCGCUCUCGGAGGCACCGGCAUCAGCGUCAUGGUCGGCGUACCCAACAAUGUCUUCCCCGGCCUGGCCACCAGCGCGCCCGCGGCCGCCGCGUGGGUCGGCGCCAACAUCAAGGCCCACCCGGCUGUCUCAUUCCGGUACCUCGUCGUCGGGAAUGAGGUCGCCGGCAGCGACACGCGGUACCUGGUCCCAGCCAUGGAGAACGUCCGUAGGGCGCUUGCUGCGGCCGGCCUGGACGGCGCCAUCAAAGUCACAACGGCAAUAUCGCAGGCCACCAUCGCCGUACACGUCCCACCGUCCGCCGGCGAGUUCACCAACGUGUCCAAGCCGUUCCUGCUCCCCGUGCUGCAGUUCCUGAAGCGCACCGGUGCGCCGCUGCUCGCCAACCUGUACCCGUACUUCCUGUACACCAGCAACCCGCGCAACAUGGACAUCGGCUUCGCGCUGUUCACGGCGCCGGGGACGGUGGUGCGGGACGGGAAGUACGGUUACCAGAACAUGUUCGACGCGUCGGUGGACGCGGUGCACGCCGCGGGGGAGCGGCUCGGGGUGAGCGGCGUGGACGUGGUAGUGUCGGAGACCGGGUGGCCGUCGGCCGGUGGCGGGGCGGCGUCAGUGCAGAACGCGAGGACGUACAACCAGAACCUGGUGAACCACGUGGGGAAGGGCAAGCCGCGGCGGCCGCGGAAGGUGGAGACGUACGUGUUCGCCAUGUUCAAUGAGAACCUCAAGGAGAACGGCGUGGAGCAGAACUGGGGGCUCUUCUACCCCAACACCAACAGGGUGUAUCCCAUCACCUUCGGCUAG
rnacentral:rRNA from 1 species